AUAAGUUCAUUCCUUCUCUCUAUCCAGCCGUAAGAAGAAGAAGAGAUAAGAGCAGUAGAUAAUGAUAAUGGUGAAGAAAAAGAUAUUGGUGCACAGAUCGCACCUAUCAUUAAACUUGAACAAAUUUAUGACUGGUUGUAAGUGAAUAUGGAAGUAGGUCAGUCGUCAAAAUUCAUGGACUCAAAUUCGGAAGGAUUACAGGGUUGUAGUGUGCUUGUACCAGAAACAACAAUGCGUUGGAGUUGUUGAGAUUGCACAAAGAGUAUUCAUUGGAGUAUUUCAGCUUCACUGACUUCGCAAUACACAGGAAGUUUGCAUUAAGGGUUGCUAUUCCACAAAGAAGUUUGCUAGCUCCUGAUCUAUUUUGGUAAGGAUGGAUUAUAUGCUAGAGAUGGUUUAUGCUAGCAGCAUGUCAUGAUACUCACAUCGAUGUCCACCUACAUGUGAGCAUUUUUGAUGCCGGGAGGAUGGAUUUCUGGAGCAGAUAGAGAUGAAUUAGGGUUGUACAGCAAUUGAUGAAGCAGAGAAGACAGAAAUGAGGAGAGAAUCAAAAAAUAAAUUGGGGGUUCGAUUAGAGAUUAAUCAGGUCUGUAAACAGUGGGUUUGUGUUGGAUUUGAAGAAUACACACAAGAAGAGAAGGCUGCAGCUGAGAUUACACAGUUGCACUUUUGAUGUGAUACUUUGAGCUAAAUUGUGACAGAAAAGAAGGAGAGAUAAGUGUAUGUGAUGCUGGUAAUAAAGCUACAGAUGGUGCAGGUUUGAAGUGAUUGCAGAUGGCUAGAAACUGCUGAAGUUGCAGCUGUAGAAGUGGAUUGAGUCAGAGAUGGGUUCGAUGCUGUUUCCAUGGUGAUUUCCAAGGAACCGACGGAUAUUGAAGCUGAUUAAGCUUAAUGAAACUGCAGGUGGUGAUGUAUUGGCUAGGCAGAGGAGAUGUUUAUGAUGUUGAAACUUAUAGGGAAGAAGUUGAGCUGAACUGAUGAUGCUGUGGAGAAGACAAGGCUGUAGAAGGCAGUGAAGAUUAAAAAGAGUAUGGACUGAAUGGAGCAGUGAGACGUUGACUGAACUGAGGCUGAAAGAUGAGUUACAAGGUUUUGCAGAAGUCAGGAUAUAACAGGUGCAACUGAGAUUGGUGCUGGUGAUUGUCAUGGGUUCUUGCAGGUGGUCUUGCUACUGUGCAAAGAUUCUCUGGUGAUGCUACUUUGCUGCCAAAAUGGUCAGAGGUGGUUUUGCAGAAGAAGCUGUUGCUUGUAGUUCUUAUGCAUGGAAGUGAUGUCUCAAGACAGAAAUGGAGAAUGGGUUGAGAACUCAAGUUGAGAUGGGUUAUCCUGCAGCUAGGGAUUGUGAGCUGCACAUAAUGUUCGUUGGUCAGAUGGAGUUGUCCGUGGCUCUGGUGGUGCUGUAAUGGAACUGGAGAUUGUGUUGAUGCUUGUAGGCGUGGUGUUGGUUCAACUUGUUGCAUAAGUGGUGGUAUAUGUAGGAGUACCUGGUGAUAGAAGUGCAAGGAUUUAGAAGCCAACAGAUAGAGAGAUACUAGUGUUGCCGCUGAGGUUGCAAGGAAGCUUGGAUGCAGUUGCAUUUUUGGCUGUGAGGAGUUCAGUUAGGAGAAGAUACUGAGAUGGAGUUGCUGUUGCAGAAUGGUUCUGUGAAAUGAGGCAGAAAUGAAUGAAUAGAACUGCAAUGAAUGUGCUAUUGAGCUGUGAAGUUGAAAAGGAAUUACAGAAGUGGGUUAGAAGCAUAUGACAACUUACGCUUUUCACUCUUGAAGAUUUUUGUUCAGCAUUUUGCUAUCUAAUGCAUCUCUGGUGGCAGGUAUAUAGAUGUGAUUCUUCAGGUUCUCUGCGUCGGUGGUGGUGUUUCUCCUGAUAUUAAAACAAAUGACCAGGUUUGUAUCUUGCCAACUGUUUACUAUUGAAGUUAUGAACUUUGAGUUUCUGACCCAAGCUUUAUUGAGCCGUUGACAAGAUGUUUAAAGAACAUCAUCCUCUAGUUGUUGUUGACCAUAUGAUUUAGACUAAACAUUAAUUGAUUGAAACAUCAUUGCCAUAAUCGAUGUGUUGAGAGGAUGUCUAAAGGAACCAACUGACAUGUUAGUUUAGGUUAUUAGAUUUGUGGACCGUCUUUUAAUUAUAUGUCUAAAAGAAACAGCUGAUAGGGGUUUCUGCUUCUAUAACAAUGUAAUGAAUGACCUUGAAGAUUAACUUUUUUAUCACGGUCUCUUAUUUGUUAUUUUCAUUUUUGUUCAUCUUCCUUUGCACAUUUUCAUUUAUGUAAGUACAUCUACCUUGUUACAUUGUAAUUCUCGGCUAGGCUCAUCAGCUUAUGCAAGGUCUCAAGUAGCAUGUUUCCGGAUAAAGGCCUACUAAUUGUGAAUAAUAAAUCUUAUCUGCGUAGUAC